rnacentral:rRNA from 1 species
UGGGGAAUCUUGGACAAUGGGCGCAAGCCUGAUCCAGCCAUGCCGCGUGGAUGAUGAAGGCCUUAGGGUUGUAAAAUCCUUUCGUUGGGGACGAUAAUGACGGUACCCAAAGAAGAAGCUCCGGCUAACUUCGUGCCAGCAGCCGCGGUAAUACGAAGGGGGCUAGCGUUGUUCGGAUUUACUGGGCGUAAAGCGCGUGUAGGCGGACUUGUAAGUUGGGGGUGAAAUCCCGAGGCUCAACCUCGGAACUGCCUCCAAAACUACAAAUCUGGACCUAAGUAGAGGCAAGUGGAAUUGCGAGUGUAGCGGUGAAAUGCGCAGAUAUUAGGAGGAACACCGGUGGCGAAGGCGCCGCUCUGGGCCGAAACUGACGCUGAGGAGCGAAAGCAUGGGUAGCAAACAGGAUUAGAUACCCCCGUAGUCCCUGAGCGGGCUGGCAAGGCGCAU